UUUCAUUCAGGAAAACUUACUUUCUCUGAUCAUCAGCAUCUUCAUCUUCUUUGUUGCAGAUAACAGGUAAACCAGAUAGGUCACAUGCCAAAGGAGUGGAGUAAAAGAACUGCAGAAAGCAGCAGGUGUCUCAUUAUUAGGAGAGGAACAAGCCCAACAAAAUGAAACAGAGAUGAAUUAUUUGCAGCGUGUUAGUAUUAUAUUUAUUAACCAACAAAUUGCAUUUUUCGCAUCUAUUCAUUUUACCUGAUUAUUGAGAGCUGAAUUUGCAGAUCCACGAUAAUCAGGAUCCAACGCAAGAAGGGUAGUGAAGAGUCCAAAAGACGAUUCAGGGAAAUCUCGGAAAGCUUUGAUAAGAUUGGGUUUGUAGACCUGUGGUGGUCGAAAAGUUGUGGAUAGCCUGAGUUUUUUCC
rnacentral:lncRNA from 1 species